CGGCAGCCAGCGAGAAUUUGUUGGGCGCCUUCUUGCAGUCGCUACGGUAAUCCUUACAGUUGCUCCGAGUGUCAGCUGAUCCCCCUUUACUGGCGAGUGAGGAGGAAAAUCAGCUGAAGGAAAACACUGCUGGCUAGUUAAAAUUAUGGCUGCGGAGAUUCAUUCCAGGCCUCAGACGGCCAGACCGGUUCUUCUGAACAAGAUCGAGGGACACUCAGACACUGUCAAUGCAGCGGUCUUGAUACCAAAGGAAGAUGGAGUGAUCACGGUCAGCGAGGACAGAACGAUCCGGGUAUGGCUGAAGAGAGACAGCGGUCAGUACUGGCCAAGCAUUUACCACACAGUCUCCUCUCCAUGCUCUUGCAUGUCAUACCACCAUGACAGUAGACGCAUCUUCAUAGGCCAGGACAACGGAGCCGUGGUGGAGUUUCUCAUCUCUGAAGAUUUCAACAAGAUGAACCACGUCAAAACAUAUCCAGCCCACCAGAACCGCGUGUCAGAUAUGGUGUUCUCCCUGGAGAGUGAGUGGGUGGUGAGUACCGGCCAUGACAAGAGUGUGAGCUGGAUGUGCACCCAGAGUGGGAGCAUGCUGGGGAGACACUACUUCACCGCCUGGGCCUCCUGCCUACAAUACGAUCAUGAAACGCAGCAUGCCUUCGUCGGUGAUUACUCAGGGCAGAUCACGCUGCUGAAACUGGAGAAGCAGACGUAUUCUACAAUCACUACACUGAAGGGUCAUGAAGGAAGUAUAGGAGCUCUGUGGUGGGACCCUGUCCAGAGGCUGCUCUUCUCAGGGGCCUCUGACCACAGCGUCAUCAUGUGGGACAUUGGGGGCCGCAAAGGACGGACGCUGUUGUUGCAGGGACACCACGAACGUGUUCAGGCCCUGCGCUACCUCCAGUUGACGAGGCAGCUGGUGUCGUGCUCAGCCGACGGAGGCAUCGCCGUGUGGAACAUGGACACGCAGAGAGAAGAGGCGCCUCAGUGGUUGGACAGCGACUCGUGUCAGAAGUGUGAACAACCUUUCUUCUGGAACAUCAAGCAGAUGUGGGACACUAAAACUCUGGGGCUCAGACAGCACCACUGCAGGAAGUGUGGCAAAGCUGUGUGUGGAAAAUGCAGUUCUAAACGCUCCACAUUUCCAAUCAUGGGCUUUGAGUUCCCUGUGCGGGUGUGUGAUGACUGCUUUGACACCAUCAAAGAAGAAGAUCGAACACCCUUGGCCACGUUCCACGAGGGGAAACACAACAUCGCCCACAUGGACAUGGACCCAUCCAGAGGCCUGAUGGUCACUUGUGGAAGCGACCGCAUUGUCAAGAUCUGGGACAUGACGCAGGUGGUUGGCUGUAGCUUAGCAACAGGCUUCUCUCCGCGCUGACUGGCCCAGCCCAUUGCGUGCUCCCCUGUGCUGCGCCCACUCUUCCAAUUUCAUGGAAACCCCUCUGUACAUUACAUCUUCCUGUCACGCUUGGGAUCUUCAGCUACAGCCAGGCCUGUUCUGGAUCCUAUUCUGAGCUCUCCUCCUUCCCCCACAAAUCUGUGUAUCAAGGAUGUCUAAAAACGCUCUCACCACUGCACUGAACUGAACAACUCGCUGGUCUUUGUCUUUUGAAUUAAACAAAACAUUUUUGCAAGUUCAGAUUUGGGAGGGAUAAUAGCUGGAGUCAAUGUAGCGUCCUUGUAAAUAGCAGCUAAUAUCCUAUAAUUUUAGACUAAUGCUUGCCUUAUUGUAAGUGGAAAAAUGAGCAUUAUAAUGUUGGAGUUCCUGAUUUCAAAAUGUAGUCACAUUCCAGUUUUUUGAUCAUGUAGUGUAUAUUUAUAUUUGUAGUAUUACUAUUUAUCUAUUAUCAUUGUAAGUGUUUGUUUACUUUCCUUUCUGCCCAUCUAAUAGUCUUCAUUCCCUUGUAGUAACAAACUAAAAUAUGUUGAACACUCUUUAAUGAAGCACAUAGAAACUCAGAGAUUGACCGGUUAAUCAAGUGACAGCAGUAAUUACAGCCUCUAUUGUUUCCCAUCAUCAAGACCUUACUCCAUGAUACUUAGAUGUCACACUGUACCAUACUUGGGGUUAGACUGAAACCUGAUACUGAUUUGAUUUGAAUUCUGGAAGCUUUGGGAUAAAACAUGCCUUAAAUUGUUAUAAAUAUCGCAAAGAUAUUACAAAAUAUGUUAUUAAAGCUGCAAUAAUUGAUUUUUUUUUUUGGCGAAUGUGGGUAGCAGAACAAACUAUAAACACAAAAUUCAUGUAAUACCACGUCAUUAAGCUGUUGCAGCGGAUCUGCUAGCAAACAGUUGCCAAUUUAUAUGUCCAGCAGACAAGAAACAACAUUAGCAUUCAUUUGGAGCUGACUAAUUUAAGUCAAAUACUCAUUCUCCCUUAAGCUCGGUUUUCGUCUCCACCCACUCCAGAGAAAAAUAUCUGGCUCUUUAACUGCUAAAUCCUCCACUAUGUUCACCAGUUAGCCGCUAACUGCUGUUUGGUGCUGGGCAGGCAACGUGCAGUGGGUUUAUCAGACCUUUUUUGCUGAAACCUGCCUGCUGCUGCUUGUUCCUGUUCUAAAAUAGACUGAGGAUAGUAGAGUUUGCAGGCUGGAAAACCAAAACAAUGAGCUAAAAGAAGCCAAAAAGCUGUGUGGAGCUGCACAGAGCUCCAGGGUUGAGUGAUAAUUUGACAAUGUAAGUGCAUCUUUCACAUUAUGCAUAGUCAUUUUGUCCAUUGUUAAUAUAAAAGUUUUGAGUAGUGCAGCUUUAAAUAACUCAAAAGAGUAAAUAAAAUGUUGUAAAAAAGUUGUUAAAGCUGCAUUAACUGAUCUUUGGCCAUUUGGUGGCAGCAGAACAAGACAUAAACAAAAAACAUAUUACCACCUUAUAAAGCAGUAAAUGGCAAGUGUGCUAGAAAACAGCACAUUCUGUGAGAAUAAUAUGGCUCUUUUAGCUGCUAAAUGCUUGAAUAUGUCCACAGGUAGUGUACAGUGGGUUUAUCAAAACGCUUUUGUUAAAAAAUAGCUGCCUGCUUCUGGAAACAAAGUUGAUAGAAGAAGUAAGAUUCAGCCAAAACAGUAAAGUUGUUGGUCGUAAAACCAAAUAAGUAGCUUUAAAUCAUAAGACACACCGUAGAUCCGAGGAACUGCAGAGUUGGCUGAUAACUCUCUGUGGGGUCAUCACUAGUAGAGACAGCUUUCACAUGACAUUUAGUAAUUUGAGCCAUUGUUAAUGUAAAAAUAUUGAUUAGUGCAGCUUUAAAGUCUUUGCAUGUUUUGAAGAGUCAUAUUGUAGCCGAACGCCUGCCAUAUUAGAAAUAGAUUACUUUAGUUGGCUGAACAAUUUUUAGUCAGUCGACUGCACCUGCAAACUGAUCUCUGUCCAGCCCCAAGUGUGAUUUAAAAACUUGUGUCACAAAGCGUCAUCAGGGAUCUACAGGGUUAUUGACGAUGCUGCCGUACAAUCAGGAGUCUAAGCUCUCCUUUCUUUCUUCCGUUAACUGUGCAUUGAAGCUUCUCCCGGUCAUUACUUCUUAUCGUAUCCUCGUAACAGAUUGCAUUUAGUGAUAAGAGUCUCUGGCUCUGGAGGCUCAACUCCGCAGCAGAUGGACAAGAUGUUAAAGGUUUAAUGGAUGGCAAGAUUUACUCUGUGCAGAAACGGCUAAUGAAAUAAAACUUCAUAUUGCCAGGCCAUCACAGGAAGGAAGGAAAAGAUUUUGUCACGUUGUAAAUGGUAUAUUUUCUGCUCUUUCACCAGAUGGAGCAGUUAUUGGAGUCAUUUUGUCUUUGUCACCUUUAGUUCGUCCAACACUAAAAUGGAUGGCCUUCAUGUUGAUGGGAGGCCAUCAACACUUUGACGAUGACUCAUUUUCCACAACACCGUGGCCCAUAAUCUUGAACUCUGUAAUUUGAUUUCUCAUGGUUUGACUUUUUCUCUUCAAACUGCUUCCAACAAAUUGUUAAUGUAUAUCUCAAAAUACUUGUAUUUUUAAACACUUUUGCUGACAAUACAGUACUGACUCUAGGCUCUCAGUGCCCUCAGAUGAGGACUCAGAGAGAAGAGAAUUAAUGCUUAAUAAAGAUAUUCUGAUAUGUU